rnacentral:piRNA from 1 species
UCUGAGGUCAUGUAAUAAGCGCCAUCUGC